AUUUUCCUUUGAAACAAAGUAUUUUUUUGUUUCCAUGCAGUCUUAGAUGUUAUUCUUAUUCCUUUUCUUAUGUUUUCAAAAUUGUUUUACAAAAAUGUUGUUUUGUGACGAAGGUGAAGUGAAUGUUCAGCUGCCGCUCCCACGGUCAACAUAUUAUUCAGAUUCUUUUUGGAAAACGGUGGCCUGUCCUCCACGACGGCUGCGGAACACGAACCAAACAGGAAAAAACAACCCGUCAGAACCGAACCACCUGUGAACCGGCACAGGGCACCGGAAGGCUUAGAUGGGACGAUCCGGCGUUGGAAACUUCCACAGCUUUGAGGGAAGAAUCGAUAGUGGAUGCCUAGGGCAGCCAAUUGGAAUGUACUAACUGUUCCGGUGUUCCGGCUAAACGGUUGCAAUCUUCCGAUCCAGUCAAAGGAGACUCAAAGUUUGGCGUCGAAACCAUUCAUCAGUUGUUCCAAUGGAACUGUCCGUCAACGAACUUCUUUUGAUAUUUUAACAAUAUGGCUGAAAGAUCUUAAAGUGUUGUCCUGAGAGGCGAAAUUUGGACAAUGAAGCCUAAUUUUCAAACAGUGAUAUUAGGUAAUUGAAAUGUAAAACAUAUAAACAUUCAUAAUUUAAUAAAAUGGAUAAAUUAAAAAAAUGUUUUGAUUUUCUUAUAACGAAAGAAAUCUGGAGGUACUAGAGUUUCUAGGACCACAUUAACGGAAUCAAAGAAAGAAUCCUUUCAAAUUAAAAUCAAAAUUACUUAAAAGUUAAGGAAAAUUUCAUGAAAACAAACGAAAAACGACAUUGGUUUCGAAGAAUGUCGUCUUUUGAAUCAAAGAAAAUGAUUCAUGUCAAAAAAAGCAUUUCUUUGAACCAAAGGAAAAUGUAUUUGAAUCAAAGUAUUUUUUAUUUAUCCCAAAAUCAAAGGAAAAAAUCCUUUGUUUUCGUGGCACUUUCCUUUGAAAUAAAAAACCUUUUCGCUGCGUGUAUCGUAUUUUAAAAAUCUAAACACGCAAAAAUGUAAAAAAUAACUGCAACUGAUGUGACAUAAACAAUUUUGACGAUUCAUUGAUUUAAAAAAACAGCUUAUACACCACUUUUUUACAUUUUUUGCGUGGGCAUGAUCUUAAAAAAUUAAAAAAAUAUAUAUCGAAUUGGCACUCCAGGGACUGUAACGGGUUAAAAGUUUCAGGGACGGAUGAGGGUUAAAAACACUCUUAAAUGCUGAAUUCAUAAAAAUAUGAACCUUUUCAGCAAUUUUUUCGUCAAUAUCUAUCUUUCUAUGUAGUGUCCGUUUUACCCGACUAUUUUAAAAAAGUGUAAUUUGCAAGCAUGAUUUAGAUUGCUAUAAAAACAGUUUUAACGAAAAAAAAAUUAACAAACAACCUGAACUGUCCAUCUUUACAAAGACUGCUAUGAAAAAAGAAAUAUUUGUUUUUCUAUUGCAAUUCAACCUUAGGGCCUCACCCAACUUUCCUCUAAAUCAUAUUUUUUGUAAUUACAGAAAAUAAACAAUGACAAAAAGUUUAAAAAAAAACUAACUUUGAAAAUUCGUCAAAUUUUUUUUUUCGUUUCGUCUUUUUGGAAUCUAAUGAAAAUGUAUCAGAUUAUGUCAACUUUUCAAUCUGUUAUUCAAUGACUCUCUACGGGCGGUGACUUGAACAACAUUGAUUGUAGAGUACGGUUGUUACACCACUUUUUUUCAACAAUUUUUGAGGUCAUGAGCUUUGAAAUCUUUGUGCAUCGAACUUAAGCUAACUAAUGUACUAAGCGCAUUUCGUUCUGAAAACUUGAUUUUCAAGGAUGUUUGUUUUUCUUUUUUGUUUGCGAAAAAACAAAUGAUUAUACACUCAGAGGAAAUCUUAUUAUAAAUUUCAUAAGAUACAUCUUAUGAACUCCUUU